GUGGCUCCGGGGUCCUCGCGGCCCGAUGGGGGUGGGGUCCCUGGGAGUCUCUGUUCCUGCUGCUCGUCACCCACUGAGAACGAGCACUUGUUCAGAACGAAUCCGGGGCUGGCGGUGACCGUGGCCCCCUGUGGAGAGGACGUCUGGCCUUGUCCAGCAGCCUUGGCCUCCCCGUCGCGCUCGCCUUCUGAGUGCAGGCACAGCUCCCCGCCCCCCCACCCCCCGUGCCGGGGCUGCCUCCCCUCCCGUCCUGGCUCCACGGAACAGGGUAACCUGGGCCCCCAGCCCAUCCCCGCCCUCCUCCUCGUCCACCUUCUCCUGGGGGUCUGCAGGCCCCUGCCGCCGCGGCCCUGGUACUUCCCGGUCUGCCUGUUCGGUCCCACAUGGGUGCUGUGCCCCGUCCCCAGUGCCGCGUCCCACGGUGAGCACCAGGGCUUCUCCCUUCACGCCCGGCUGCCGCCACCCCCUGCUGGGCCACCCUCCCAUUCGGCCGCUCAGCAGCUGCCGCUCAGCCCUGGAGAGUCCAGUGUCCCCACCGCGGCCUCUUUGGUCCCCUCGUCAUCUGGCCUCCCAUUCCCCGUCCACUCCGUCCCCGGCUCCUUGCUUUCGGCUGCUGAGGCUGCGCCCUGCCUGCCGCCACCUCCCCCACCUGCGCCCACACCUAGGAAGGACCCUCCCCAGGGCCAGGCAGUCAGCGAGCGGUUCAGACGACUGCCCCACGUUGGCGCUCCUGGGCUCAGCCGCUGGCUGUGCACCCUGGGGGCGCUGGCGAGGGCUCAGCCGACACGUGGGAGAACGGGGUUGAGUCCUUGGCACCGGCUUUGGCCCCUGCUCCUCCCCGUCUGUUGCAGGUGUUUGCAGACUGAACCCGUAGGUACAAACUCUUUCUUUUUCCUCUCAACUAAAAGCAGAAGGCCGUCCUUCAUCUCUCAACGUGUCAGUUACGUGCUGCCUUGCGCGCAAGGACCCAGAACACAAGCACGCAUGGUAGCCUCACCUGGUUCUGUGGGCCGGGUGCCGGGAGAGGCUUGGCUCUGUCUGACGACUCGGCCCGGGCCAGCACCGCCUGCAGGAUCCACUUCCAAGACGGCCCCCGCGUUGCCUGGUGAUCUGAGGGCGGCUCUCGGUGGGCCCUCUCCACAGGGAGGCGGGGGUGCCUGUGACAGUAAGCCACAGGAAUGAGCCGGGGCAGCGGUGGCACGGCGCCCUAGCCUCAGAAUCUCACCGCGUCCUUCCCACGGUACCGUGCUGGUCCCACGCACCAUCCCACGCGUGUCCCGAGAGCUGAGGCCCCGGGGUGUCCCUGGGGCUCUGCCUCACCACACCACACGCCCCUGGACUCUGUCCCUGGACCCUGCCCCUGGACUCUGCCCCUGGACUCUGCGCCUGCCUGGCUUUUCUGUCAGCCCCAUACCCACCUGGCUCAUAACGUCCCU
rnacentral:lncRNA from 1 species